GGUUUUUCUUCUGAAGAUAAAGCAACAACAACAAGGCAAGGAGGUAAAAAUGUUCGAGAAGAUCUGGCCUUCCCACAAGGGAAGGCCAGGGAA
rnacentral:misc_RNA from 1 species